rnacentral:rRNA from 1 species
GGGAGGGCCAGAAACUAAACAGGAUCCCCCAUAGUAUGGCGAAUGAACAGGGAUGAGCUCAGCAUGGAAAUUGGGGCCUGUGGCUUUGACUUGUAAUCUUGUGAGGCAUUGCCAACAGAGGCGCAGAUGUAAGUCUCUUGGAAAAGAGCAUCAAUGAGGGUGAGAGUCCUGCUUGUCAUUUGCAGCCCCCCUGUGCACGGUGUGCCUUCUAAGAGUCACGUUCCUCGGGAUUGGAGCGCAAAGUGGGUGGUAACUUUCAUCUGAAGCUAAACAAUGGUUUGGGACCGAUAGGAAACAAGUACCAUGAGGGAAAGGUGAAAAGGACUUUGGAAAGAGAGUUAAAAGUGCCUGAAAUUGCUGAAGGGGAAGCGAAUGGAACCAGUGGUGCUGGGUGAGAUUGUCACACGCUGCAGGGAUUGGUUGCUGCAUCAGCGCAAGCGAUCUAGCGAUUGUUGAAUUGUAAGUGUGUGGUGUGUCUUGCCUUGUGUGUCAUUGUGGGUUUAUGCAUUAAGACAAUUCAAAGUGCAUGGCAAUAUGUUUCUGAAUCUAUGAAUGUGUUUUGUUAUGUUUAUGCAUAAGCUUCCUACUCUAUGUCUGGCUGCAGUGCUUGCCGUCACCAUUGUUUGGAUAGAUGAGCUGAGCAUGUCUUCUGCACAGAUCUUGGCUAAAUGGUUCUAUUCGACCCGUCUUGAAACACGGACCAAGGGAGUCUAGCAUAUGUGCAAAAUGCCAU